UGUGCGCUGCGGGGGUGGCGGGGCUGGGGAAUGGCGAGGGGGGGUGCGAUGGGUAUUUUUGGAAGGCAAGCAAAAAAAAAAAAUUUUUUUUCCUAAAAAUUAAAAAAAAAAAAAAGAAAAAAAGAAAUUAAAAAUAAAGCCCGGGAGCGGGGCGGGCGGGCGGCGCCUACGGCAGAGCAGCGCGGGCAUCCCCCCCGCGCCCCCCCGGCGCAGCCCCACUCCGGCCGGGCACGGCUCCUCCUCGCAGCCCGCAGCGCCCCGGCCCCAUCGCCGCCGCCCCCGCCUCCUCCUCCUCCUCCUCUGCCUCCUCCCCUCGCCCGGGGCACCGGCGGCGUUGCGGCGGGGACACUCCCGGUGCGGGGGCGGGGAGGGAGGAGGAGGAGGAGGGAGAGAAGGAGGCGGAGGAGGAGGAAGGCUCCGGCCCCGCUCGCCCGGCAGCGCGACGGCGGCCCCCGGAUGGUGCGGGAAGGCAACAAAAAUUAGAUAUUUUUCCAGUUUGCUGAGGGCCGAAUCGUGCAUCGUGUGCCUGGAUUUUUCGGCACGCUCCGUAGUCCUGAACAAACAGGAACAUAAUCAACGUCUGCCUUGAGCUCAAAUGGUUUCAGUGUGAUAAAUAAUAUGCUAAAUAAUUUAUUGUCUAUUUUAAAAAUAAAAUUAAAGCAAACUA